AAUACUUUGGUGGCGACCGGCGCACGGGUGAGUAACACGUAUCCAACCUACCGAUAACUCCGGAAUAGCCUUUCGAAAGAAAGAUUAAUACCGGAUAGCAUACGAAUAUCGCAUGAUAUUUUUAUUUAAAGAAUUUCGGUUAUCGAUGGGGAUGCGUUCCAUUAGGCAGUUGGUGGGGUAACGGCCCACCAAGACUACGAUGGAUAGGGGUUCUGAGAGGAAGGUCCCCCACAUUGGAACUGAGACACGGUCCAAACUCCUACGGGAGGCAGCAUG
rnacentral:rRNA from 1 species